rnacentral:snRNA from 1 species
UAAAUAGUAAGAAUCAAUGUU